rnacentral:rRNA from 1 species
AUGAACGCUGGCGGCGUGCCUAAUACAUGCAAGUCGAGCGAACAGAUGAGGAGCUUGCUCCUCUGACGUUAGCGGCGGACGGGUGAGUAACACGUGGAUAACCUACCUAUAAGACUGGGAUAACUUCGGGAAACCGGAGCUAAUACCGGAUAAUAUAUUGAACCGCAUGGUUCAAUAGUGAAAGACGGUUUUGCUGUCACUUAUAGAUGGAUCCGCGCCGCAUUAGCUAGUUGGUAAGGUAACGGCUUACCAAGGCGACGAUGCGUAGCCGACCUGAGAGGGUGAUCGGCCACACUGGAACUGAGACACGGUCCAGACUCCUACGGGAGGCAGCAGUAGGGAAUCUUCCGCAAUGGGCGAAAGCCUGACGGAGCAACGCCGCGUGAGUGAUGAAGGUCUUCGGAUCGUAAAACUCUGUUAGUAGGGAAGAACAAAUGUGUAAGUAACUAUGCACGUCUUGACGGUACCUAAUCAGAAAGCCACGGCUAACUACGUG